GACGAACGCUGGCGGCGUGCUUAACACAUGCAAGUCGAACGGUGAAGGGACCGGUUUUUGCUGGUUCUGGAUGAGUGGCGAACGGGUGAGUAACACGUGAGUAACCUGCCCCCUUCUUCUGGAUAACCGCAUGAAAGUGUGGCUAAUACGGGAUAUUCUGCGCCUGCUGCAUGGUGGGUGUGGGAAAGAUAUUGUUUCGGUGGGGGAUGGGCUCGCGGCCUAUCAGCUUGUUGGUGGGGUGAUGGCCUACCAAGGCGGUGACGGGUAGCCGGCCUGAGAGGGUGGACGGUCACCGUGGGACUGGGACACGGCCCAGACUCCUACGGGAGGCAGCGGGGGGGAAUAUUGCACAAGGGGCGCAAGCCUGAUGCAGCGCCGCCGGGGGAGGGAUGGAGGCCUUGGGGUUGUAAACCUCUUUCGCAAGGGAAGCAGGCCUGUCCCUUUUGGGGGUGGGUUGACGGUAGUUGGAAAAGAAGCGCCGGCUAACUACG
rnacentral:rRNA from 1 species